rnacentral:rRNA from 1 species
AGAGUUUGAUUCUGGCUCAGAACGAACGCUGGCGGCGUGGAUAAGACAUGCAAGUCGAACGGGAUUUCAUUUGUAGCAAUACACGUGAAGUUCAGUGGCGUAAGGGUGCGUAACACGUGGGUAAUCUGCCGAGAUGUGGGGGAUAGCUCGCCGAAAGGCGAAUUAAUACCGCAUGUGGUUAGUGUUGGAUUCAACACGACACCAAAGCCGGGGCAACCUGGCGCAUCUUGAUGAGCCCGCGGCCUAUCAGCUAGUUGGUGAGGUAACGGCUCACCAAGGCUAUGACGGGUAGCUGGUCUGAGAGGACGACCAGCCACACUGGAACUGAGACACGGUCCAGACACCUACGGGUGGCAGCAGUCGAGAAUUUUUCUCAAUGGGGGAAACCCUGAAGGAGCGACGCCGCGUGGAGGAUGAAGGUCUUCGGAUUGUAAACUCCUGUCAUUUGGGAACAAUUGUUGGCGAUUAACUGUCGUCAGCUUGAUAGUACCAGAAGAGGAAGAGACGGCUAACUCUGUGCCAGCAGCCGCGGUAAUACAGAGGUCUCAAGCGUUGUUCGGAUUCAUUGGGCGUAAAGGGUGCGUAGGUGGCGAGGUUAGUCAGGUGUGAAAUCUCGGGGCUCAACCCCGAAACUGCACUUGAUACUGCCUUGCUAGAGUACUGGAGAGGAGAUUGGAAUUUACGGUGUAGCAGUGAAAUGCGUAGAUAUCGUAAGGAAGACCAGUGGCGAAGGCGAAUCUCUGGACAGUUACUGACACUGAGGCACGAAGGCCAGGGGAGCAAACGGGAUUAGAUACCCCGGUAGUCCUGGCAGUAAACGGUGCGCGUUUGGUGUGGGAGGAUUCGACCCCUUCUGUGCCGGAGCUAACGCGUUAAACGCGCCGCCUGGGGAGUACGGUCGCAAGAUUAAAACUCAAAGAAAUUGACGGGGGCCCGCACAAGCGGUGGAGUAUGUGGCUUAAUUCGAUCCACGCGAAGAACCUUACCUAGCCUUGACAUGCAUCUCUAAGUCGGUGAAAGCCGGCGACUGUAGCAAUACAGAAUUUGCACAGGUGCUGCAUGGCUGUCGUCAGCUCGUGUCGUGAGAUGUUGGGUUAAGUCCCGCAACGAGCGCAACCCCUGUGAACUGUUGCCACCGGCCUUCGGGCCGAGCACUCUGUUCAGACUGCCCUGUGAAACGGGGAGGAAGGUGGGGAUGACGUCAAGUCAGCAUGGCCCUUACGGCUAGGGCUGCACACGUACUACAAUGCUCAGUACAGAACGAACCGAAACCGCGAGGUGGAGGAAAUCCCCAAAACUGAGCCCAAUUCGGAUUGGAGGCUGCAACUCGCCUCCAUGAAGCCGGAAUCGCUAGUAAUGGCGUAUCAGCUACGACGCCGUGAAUACGUUCCCGGGCCUUGUACACACCGCCCGUCACAUCAUGGAAGUCACUUGUACCCGAAGUGCAUGCGCCAACCGCAAGGAGGCAGUGCCCUAAGGUAUGGGCGGUAACUGGGAUGAAGUCGUAACAAGGUA